CGGCUGAGUAACGCGUAGGAAUGUACCCCAAAGUGAGGGAUAAGCACCAGAAAUGGUGUCUAAUACCGCAUGUGAUCCACGGAUUAAAGCUUUAUGCGCUUUGGGAACAGCCUGCGUCCGAUUAGCUUGUUGGUGAGGUAAUGGCUCACCAAGGCGAUGAUCGGUAGCUGGUCUGAGAGGAUGAUCAGCCAGACUGGGACUGAGACACGGCCCAGACUCCUACGGGAGGCAGCAGUAGGGAAUUUUCCACAAUGGGCGAAAGCCUGAUGGAGCAACGCCGCGUGCAGGAUGAAUGCCUUCGGGUUGUAAACUGCUUUUAUUAGUGACGAUUAUGACGGUAACUAAUGAAUAAGGACCUGCUAACUACGUGCCAGCAGCCGCGGUCAUACGUAGGGUCCAAGCGUUAUCCGGAAUUACUGGGCGUAAAGAGUUGCGUAGGUGGCAGGGUAAGUAGAUAGUGAAAGCGUGUGGCUCAACCAUACAUCCAUUAUCUAAACUGCUCAGCUAGAGGACGAGAGAGGUAGAUGGAAUUCCUAAUGUAGGGGUAAUAUCCGUAGAUAUUAGGAGGAAC
rnacentral:rRNA from 1 species